rnacentral:lncRNA from 1 species
GUGGGUGUAGGGGUGCCUGAGGAGAAAGGGGUGCUGGUUCUUCCUUAUAUCCCCUGCCUGCCUCAGCUGGGCUCUGACCCAGCCAGCAGACUGGAGUCCUCUUCUGCAUGAUUCUACAAAGAUCCUAUAUUUGAUGUCAACAUCUUAACAAGCAUGGCUAAUGACGAUGUCUGGUGUAUUUAUUUAAAAGGUAAGGAAACUGAGGCUUAGAGGAGUUAUGAAACUGCCCAAGGUUUCACAGCUGAAAUGUAUAAGGACCUGGACUUGCAAAUUUGGCACAAAGUUCUUCUAAUAAGAGGCCAUAAAAUAACCAAAUGAUUUUUUAUGUGCCUGUAGAACCAAAAGAACUAUUUCAGAAUGUCAGCUGAAAAGCACGAUAUUCCAGAUAGGGCAUUCACUAGCAUAUGCCUAAAGGUACUCACAUAGGAGGAACACAAUAUGACCCCACAGAAGAAUAAUGAGCAACUAAACAUUGACAGUAACAAUGAGACUGUGGCCAAUGAGAUCACACCAUGCAAUGAGAUAGCUUAGAAACCUUGGCAUAGUGCCUUCCUGGAAAUCCCGGAUUGCAUCUAAAACCAUGUGGCAGAGGGAGAAACAACAGACAGGCCAUCCUGAGAAGACUCAGGCUGGGACGAAAGCUCUGCUCUCCAGGGACAAAGCAGCAGGGGACCAGCCAUGCUCAGAAAUACUCCACUGGCCAGUGCACAUUUUUUUGAGCAAUUUCACUUGCUUCCACACCACCUGCCCCCCUAACGCUUCUAUUAAAGUGGCAAAUAAAUCUGAUACCCA